rnacentral:lncRNA from 1 species
UUUUCAGGUUUUCACUGUCAAAAAGCCAGUUUUAUUAAUCAUGAUGUGCUUUUUCCUUCAACAGGAAAUCCCAUAGCUCAGGGAGAUCCAUCUGUUUCACCAGAAGGAAAUCCCACGGUUCAUGGCGAUCCAUCUGUUUCACCAGAAGGAAAUCCCACGGUUCAUGGCGAUCCAUCUGUUUCACCAGAAGGUAAGAGUCAACAUCAGCUAUGGAAGCUCUAUAUCCACAUCAUUAAACAUCAUCAUCACCACCGUCUCUAAUCCUGUGAGAUACAACCUGCCGGCAAGUGCGCUUAGAUCAGCUAAACAGGUGCUUUUGACUUUAACAGUACAUUUAUAAAUUACAUUUAAUAAAUCCACGUCCAAUAUAAUUAGCAUGCUUAUU